rnacentral:lncRNA from 1 species
UCGAAGGCCAGGCCUGGUGACGCUCCUUCUGAUCAUAAGGCAUUCCGGCAUGUUGCUGCCGCUUUACUUAUGGGACCCGGGAUGUAAUUUUCAGAUGGUGGUUUGUUUUGCCACCGCGUUACAUCUCGGGCUUGGCAAUUACAUUUCAUUAACAGGGAAACAUAAGCCAUAAAUCAUUGAUCAGAAACAGGUUGUUAAUCGGUCUAGUUAAAGCGGCUGCCGGCUGGUAGGGCGCGGACUACAAAUUGAUGGAUGCCUGGGCUCAGAACUUGCCCAGGUAGCCCAUUAAAGCAAUACUGCUAAUAAUUUUCACUAAUAUUUAUUGAGCUAGAUUCCUAUGUGCCUGUAAGUGCUUUAUCCUCACAGCAACCCUAAAAGGACUAUUCCCAUAUUACAGAUGAGGAAAUUGAAUUCCAAAAUGGUUAAAUGAUUGGCGGCAGUUCACACACCUUGCACGAGGCAGGGUUUGGACUCUGAAGCUGGUGCUCUUAGUACAUUCCUCCUUCCUGAACUUCACCAUUGGAGGGGGAAAGGGGACCGCAUUUGAGGCCACUGGCCAAAUGUCUGACUUGCACACUGCUCCCCGUGGUGGCCCCUUUCUGGGGAACAGACCUAAGGCAACCACGAGGAGGUUUUGGGAGAAACGUAGAAUUUGCAAGACUGAAUUUUAAUCUGUGCCUACAAACAGCUGAAGUUGACCAGCACGGCCAGGCUGCAGGCUAAUUCAUCUGACUUCGUCUCCACACCUGUUGUCCGCGAGCAGAGUGGUGGCAGCUAGGCCCGUUCACAUCCUAUCAACCUGGUCUGUUGGAAUGACACCUGGCUGUGCUGAAGCCUUGGUUCCUGUCAUUAGGAAUGUAAACAACUCCAGCUUCCUCCCAUCAGUGCUGGCUCUGUGCCUGCCUCCAGGUCUCCCAGCCCCAGGCUGUGCCUCCUGAAACAGGCACACAGCAGGAUCAGUUUCCAUUCAUUGCAGCAAAGGAUCCACUGUGAUGCCAGGGUCUCCAUCAGGUGGCCUGUGGUGGUCCUCCUUGUAGCUUUUGUUAUAAGACCCUGCGGUCAGCUCGCCAGCACACCCCAGCAGAGCCCCGAGUCCGUGCCUGCGGAGAAUACGGAAGCCCAGAGCAUCACCCUCCUCACAGCCUCAGCAUGCGCUCUGAAUCCUCGUAUCAUCAAUAACAUUGAUACCAACUAAUUUAAACCCACUGAACCAGUGAACUUGGGCUGCAGAUGUGUUUAUGAGCAGGAUACUAAGUAGCUAUUUUAACUAAGUGGAACAUUUCUUGCUUUAAUUAAUGAAAAGGUAGCAACUCUGAGGAAAUAUUAGGGGCAUUAAGUUUUAUAUUGGCGCCAUUUAUUAUAUAUGAUUUUUAACACUUUUAAUCACUUUAUUCCAUGUUGACAGCUACUGAGAGAAAAAGAGCUUUCCACGGUGAGUGUGACCCUGGAAUUACUGUCAAGCUGAGACAGAUGAUCAUUAACCCCUGAGUUGCCUUGGUCUUUUGAGGAAAUAGUGAGGAUUUUAUUAGUUUUAUUAAUGGCACUCGGGGAGAUCAAGUUAUUGAUUAGCAAAGAAUGAGUCCUUAACACGCACAUUUCUUGGAAAGGGUAAACGAAGUAGAAGGGAAUUAACAUUUAUUCAGCACCUACUGUGUGCCAGGUGUGUGCUGGGCUAUCUACAUACUGAAUUAAAUCUCCAAGCAGUCCUGUGAGGCUGGCUACAGUGAUGUCCAUUACACAGAGGAGGAAAUGGAAAGACUGAGAUACUUGCUCAUUCAGUAAAACUUUUGCACCCUGCUAGUUCACGACGGGGCUUAGAUCGUGAAU